UACGGGGGGGGCAAGCGUUGUUCGGAUUUACUGGGCGUAAAGGGCGCGUAGGCGGCGCGGUAAGUCACUUGUGAAAUCUCUGAGCUUAACUCAGAACGGCCAAGUGAUACUGCAGUGCUAGAGUGCAGAAAGGGCAAUCGGAAUUCUUGGUGUAGCGGUGAAAUGCGUAGAUAUCAAGAGGAACACCGGUGGCGAAGGCGGGUCUCUGGGCCGAUACUGACGCUGAGGAGCGAAGGCGUGGGGAGCGAACAGG
rnacentral:rRNA from 1 species